GUGGGGAAUAUUGCACAAUGGGCGAAAGCCUGAUGCAGCGACGCCGCGUGAGCGAUGAAGUAUUUCGGUACGUAAAGCUCUAUCAGCAGGGAAGAUAAUGACGGUACCUGACUAAGAAGCACCGGCUAAAUACGUGCCAGCAGCCGCGGUAAUACGUAUGGUGCAAGCGUUAUCCGGAUUUACUGGGUGUAAAGGGAGCGUAGGCGGCGUGGUAAGUCAGAAGUGAAAGCCCGGGGCUCAACCCCGGGACUGCUUUUGAAACUAUCAUGCUAGAGUGUCGGAGAGGUAAGUGGAAUUCCUAGUGUAGCGGUGAAAUGCGUAGAUAUUAGGAGGAACACCAGUGGCGAAGGCGGCUUACUGGACGAUAACUGACGCUGAGGCUCGAAAGCGUGGGGAGCAAACAGGAUUAGAAACCCUUGUAGUCC
rnacentral:rRNA from 1 species